rnacentral:rRNA from 1 species
UACGAAGGGGGCUAGCGUUGUUCGGAUUCACUGGGCUUAAAGGGCGCGUAGGCGGGGGAGGUAAGUCGGGUGUGAAAUCCCUCGGCCCAACCGAGGAACUGCGCCCGAGACUGCUUCUCUUGAGUCCCGGAGAGGAAGAUGGAAUUCCCGGUGUAGCGGUGAAAUGCGCAGAUAUCAGGAGGAACACCGGUGGCGAAGGCGGGUCUCUGGGCCGAUACUGACGCUGAGGAGCGAAAGCGUGGGGAGCGAACAGG